rnacentral:lncRNA from 1 species
AGCGCUUAAAAGUUCGGAGCAAACAUAGAUUCGAAACAGAUCUAAGAGAAAUCGAGAGAACCUUAAAGAUUAGGUUUUCAGAAGAACCCCAUGUGGUGAGAAGGCUUUGAAAACCAUCGAUCUAAGUAGGAGAGUCAAGAAUCGGACUCGGAUAACCAUGGCUGACCAGAGAAUGGUUAAGGACGGUCGGGGACCAACCACAAACUAAAAUCGAACAAGGUCUGGACCAAGUUCUUUCAAGAUCUAUCCUCGAGACCAUAAUAAUCGAGCGCAUAGAAGCCAUGGGAGGUGGAUACAGGCUCCGAUGACCUUGGAAGCCAUUGAUUUUGGAGAUACUGGGGUUGUAGUUGAGGGCGGCGGCUUGGGUUUGAGAGGAUUUGAGAGGAAAUUGAGAGAGAAAGGAUUCAAGGGCCGCAGUGGGUAAUAAAUGACUUAGUUUUAGGGGUUAG